rnacentral:rRNA from 1 species
CUCGUGCGUGAGUGUCGGGUUAAGUCCCGUAACGAGCGCAACCCUUGUCCUUAGUUACCAGCACGUUAUGGUGGGCACUCUAAGGAGACUGCCGGUGACAAACCGGAGGAAGGUGGGGAUGACGUCAAGUCAUCAUGGCCCUUACGGCCUGGGCUACACACGUGCUACAAUGGUCGGUACAAAGGGUUGCCAAGCCGCGAGGUGGAGCUAAUCCCAUAAAACCGAUCGUAGUCCGGAUCGCAGUCUGCAACUCGACUGCGUGAAGUCGGAAUCGCUAGUAAUCGUGAAUCAGAAUGUCACGGUGAAUACGUUCCCGGGCCUU